AUACGAAGGUGGCAAGCGUUGUUCGGAAUAACUGGGCGUAAAGCGCACGUAGGCGGAUUGUUUAGUUAGAGGUGAAAUCCCAGGGCUCAACCCUGGAACUGCCUUUAAUACUGGCAGUCUAGAGACCGAGAGAGGUGAGUGGAAUUCCGAGUGUAGAGGUGAAAUUCGUAGAUAUUCGGAGGAACACCAGUGGCGAAGGCGGCUCACUGGCUCGGUACUGACGCUGAGGUGCGAAAGCGUGGGGAGCAAACAGGAUUAGAAACCCCUGUAGUCC
rnacentral:rRNA from 1 species